rnacentral:rRNA from 1 species
AUAUUGGACAAUGGGCGCAAGCCUGAUCCAGCCAUGCCGCGUGUGUGAAGAAGGCCUUCGGGUUGUAAAGCACUUUUGUCCGGAAAGAAGGCGAAUCGGCGAAUACCCGGUUUGGAUGACGGUACCGUAAGAAUAAGCACCGGCUAACUACGUGCCAGCAGCCGCGGUAAUACGUAGGGUGCGCACGUUAAUCGGAAUUACUGGGCGUAAAGCGUGCGCAGGCGGUUUUGUAAGACAGAGGUGAAAUCCCCGGGCUCAACCUGGGAACUGCCGUUGUGACUGCAAGGCUGGAGUGCGGCAGAGGGCGAUGGAAUUCCACGUGUAGCAGUGAAAUGCGUAGAGAUGCGGAGGAACACCGAUGGCGAAGGCAAUCCCCUUGGCCGGCACGGACGCUCAUGCACGAAAGCGUGGGGAGCAA